rnacentral:rRNA from 1 species
CGUAUCACCCAAGACAACUUUACGGAGUUGACGAUUGACGGAGCGAAGCGACGUCAAAGCGUUCAUUAAAGUCGAGUUGGCUUAGGGAUACGUUCGUUGGGUAGGGGAGCGUUCUGUAAGCCUGUGAAGGUGUGUCGUGAGGCAUGCUGGAGGUAUCAGAAGUGCGAAUGCUGACAUAAGUAACGAUAAAGCGGGUGAAAAGCCCGCUCGCCGGAAGACCAAGGGUUCCUGUCCAACGUUAAUCGGGGCAGGGUGAGUCGACCCCUAAGGCGAGGCCGAAAGGCGUAGUCGAUGGGAAACGGGUUAAUAUUCCCGUACUUGGUGUUACUGCGAAGGGGGGACGGAGAAGGCUAUGUUGGCCGGGCGACGGUUGUCCCGGUUUAAGCGUGUAGGUGUGUGUUCCAGGUAAAUCCGGUUCACUUUAACACUGAGGCGUGACGACGAGGCACUACGGUGCUGAAGCAACAAAUGCCCUGCUUCCAGGAAAAGCCUCUAAGCAUCAGGUAACACGAAAUCGUACCCCAAACCGACACAGGUGGUCAGGUAGAGAAUACCAAGGCGCUUGAGAGAACUCGGG